rnacentral:lncRNA from 10 species
CAGAGAUAGACAGAGACAGAGAGAGGGAGACAAGGAGACACAGAGACAGACGUAGAGAGACAGAAAAAGAGAGACAGAGAUAGAGAGACAGAGACAGACAGACAAAGGCAAAGAUGGGGAGAGAGACAGAGAUGGAGAGACAGAGACAGAGACAAAGGCAGAGAUAGGGAGACAGAGAUAGAGAGACAGAGAGACAAAGGCAGAGAUGGGGAGAUAGAGAUGGAGAGACAGAGAGACAAUGGCAGAGAUGAGGAGACAGAGAUAGAGAGACAAGGAGAGAGCUAGGGAGACAAGGAGACACAGAGACAGAGAUGGAGAGACAGAGACAAAGAGACAAAGACAGAUGGGGGAGAGAGGGAGGUGGGGAAACAGGGAGGGAUGGGAAGAGAAAGAUAGGGAGAGUGAGAGAGGCGAAGAGCGACAGACAGAGAUGGGGCCUAGAAGGGGGAGAGACAAGGACUGAGAGAUGAGAGGGGAAAUGAGAGGGCGAUGGGAAGCAUGGGAAGCAGGAAGAGCCCAGAGAGGAAGGAGGGAGGGCAGCUCUGACUCAGAGAGGGCCUGCGCAGCCCCAGGAGGGAACCCCAGAAGUGGGGAGUGCAACUGAGAGGGAGCAAUGACGUCUCAGACUGAGAGAUGAGGGGGCACGAGGGAGCCCUCGGGCAUCAGUGGCGGGUGACAAAGACAGUACCAGAGAAAGCCAAAGCCAUACCGAGGGGCGGAUGGACAGCAGAGCCCUAGGAGGAGACAGCCCAAGAGGUGCCCUGACCUAGGGUGGAUCUGCUGGGCUCCGCGCCCCUGCUGUCCCUACCUCCUCUAGGUUAUAUGCAAAAGUGCAUCUUUGGAGAGGGUUGAAAUCUCCCAGUUUCCAAGUCCUUAGAUAGUGGCAUCUUUUUUUUUUUUUCCCCGAGACAGAAUCGCACCCUGUCACCCAGGCUGGAGUGCAGUGGCGCGAUCUUGGCUCACUGCAACCUCUGCCUCCCAGGUUCAAGCGAUUCUCCUGUCCCAUGCUCCCGAGUAGCUGGAAUAACAGGCGUGCGCCACCACACCCAGCAAAUUUUUGUAGUUUUAGUAGCGACGGGGUUUCACCUUGUUGGCCAGGCUGGUCUCAAACUCCUGACCUCAGGUGAUCCACCCGCCUUGGCCUCCCAAAGUGCUGGGAUUACAGGCGUGAGCCACCACGCCUGGCUGAUAGUGGCGUCUUAUACAAUGCUUUGCUCUUGUUCACUUUUGUGCAGACCUGAUCCAAGAAGCCUCGGGGGGUACUGCACCCCCCACCCCACUGCAUCUAGACCAGAGGGAAGAUGCAGGGUGAAGAGGGGAGAGGAGCCUAAAUGAAUGGGAAAUCGAGACACCGAGAACAAGACCAGACGUCGAGAGAGGCCACCAAGAUGCAGAAACCUCAUGAAGGGGCAUCUGUAUUGACUCAGAGAGCGGGAAAGAUAAAGAUGGCAGGUGGGAAGGAGCAGAGAAGGCGGCAGAGAGAGCCUCCGACAUGAGAGGGGGACCUGGAGAAGGCCCAGGGACAGAUCCAAGAGGCACAUCACGGCCUUCUCGCACUUAGGAACGCUAGACAGCUCUUCAGCACCAUGCUUGGGGGACCUUUUAAACGCUGAUAUCACCACUAAAAGGCCCAAAGAUGCAAAGCACGUGGCACUAAACAGACCGAGAAAAGACACUCGUUCACAGUAUAAGAGCCGAAAUGAGAAGGCACCCUCGUUCAGCCUCGUCUGGGAACCCACACAUAGGGCUACUCAAGAUUUUCUCUGCUUUGCGCCUGUCCAAGAAUAACCACAAAAGCCCUUCGCGUAUUGAUUCUGGGCUUCUAAUAAAUUUCAGCGAGUAGGCAAAUUCGCAGACACAGAAUCUGGGAAUCAUGAGGGCCAACUGUGUCAACAGCGCAGAUGUUAGAAACUAUGACGGACAGGAAGAGGUCUUGGACUUUGGUUCUGUCUUGAUGAGAGACACACUUGAUGAAAGGUCUCAGGCAAGUGAAUGCAAAUCUCUAAGACUGUUUCAUCUUCUGUAAAAUGGGAAUGUGCAUGCUCUGUCUUUCUUUCUGUUUCUGUACCGCCCUUUCCUUCUUAAAGCUGGUUGUGAAGAAGUUUGUUGAGGAAUUAUGAGAAGUUUGCUGCAGGGCAGUUGAGGAUAGAAGAAGAUCACAGGAGGAGGAAACAGGGUCAAAAAAGGUAAGAGCCCAGGGGAGGUAGAUUUGGACUCCAUAUAAGGAAGAAGGUUUUUUUUUUUUUGAGACAGAGUUUCGCUUUUGUCGCCCAGGCUGGAGUGCAAUGGUGCGAUCUCGGCUUACUGCAACCCCCGCCUCGCGGGUUCAAGCGAUUCUCUCGCCUCAGCCUCCUGAGUAGCUGGGAUUACAGGCACAUGCCACCACAUCCGGCCAAUUUUUGUAUUUUUAGUAGAGAUGGGGUUUCUCCACGUUGGUCAGGCUGGUCUCGAACUCCUGACCUCAGGUGAUCAGCCCACUUCAGCCUCCCAAAGUGCUAGGAUUACAGGCGUGAGCCACCAAGCCCAGCCUCCUACUCUUGAUUUUUAUAAAAGUACGAGCCCCUCCAGAGCAUGAGGGAUUGUGGAUAGACUUCAGGGGCCUGUGCACUUGUACAGGAAAAAAAAUCCUAUGUCUUCAUUUUCAUCAUCCUCCAACAAAAACUCAACCUUUCCUCAAUUAAAUAUGUAAGCAGCAAACCAUGCUAGUUUCAGCAAGACCCAUGCCUGUAUCCCCAGUAGGAAUCACAGAUAUCUCCAUAUCCCAUCACAGUGGUGCAGAUUUCCCAAAAUAGUGUUUAUGCGCCUCGUGAUUUUGAAAUUAGAGUUGUUAAAAUCCACCGCCAAUGUCUAACAUGUUGACAAAAAAAGAUGAUAUUAUGAUAUCACAAAUUUUGCUUUUGAAAAAUAUUUUGAGAAACUACAUUUUAGUGUAACUGGCCUCUUUUGUUAUUUCAUGUUAUGCAUUUAUAAGCAUUAUUCUGAGAAGGACCACGGCAGCCUGCCAAAGAGAUCCAUGACCCCCUAAAAGCCAAAGGACCCAGUUUUAGAGUAAAUGGACCCCUGACCACUACGUGGUGGAUGCGGCCAGAGGAUGGGGACUGGGCAGAGAAGAAGGAAGCGGGAAGGGAGGAGCAAGGCAGAGCGUGGCCUCUGGAGGAGACAGUUGGAGGGUAAGGGGUGGCACUGGCAAGCCUAGUGGGGGAUGUGUUGGAGGGAAGGCACACAGCCCAGUGGAGUAGGGGCAACAUCCAGGAAGGGAGCAGCAGGCCCCUACCAGGAUAGCCAGGGCUGUGGCAGGACCAUGGGUUCAGAGGGCUGCCUGCCUGGGUUAAAAUCCCCCCUCCUUCCUUGAGCCUCAGUUUCCCCCUCUGU